rnacentral:rRNA from 1 species
AUACGAAGGGACCGUAGCGUAGUUCGGAAUUACUGGGCUUAAAGAGUUCGUAGGUGGUUGAAAAGUUGGUGGUGAAAUCCCAGGAGCUUAACCUCUGGAACUGCCAUCAAAACUUUUCAGCUAGAGUAUGAUAGAGGAAAGCAGAAUUUCUAGUGUAGAGGUGAAAUUCGUAGAUAUUCGGAGGAACACCAAUUGCGAAGGCAGCUCACUGGGCCGCUAUCGACGCUAGAGGAGGCGAAAGCUAGGGGAGCAAACAGGAUUAGAUACCCUGGUAGUCCUAGCUGUAAACGAUGGAUACUAGAUGUAGGAAUUGGUUUAACGAUUUCUGUAUCG